UCUCUGGUGGCCUAGUGGCUAAGGAUUUGGCAUUGUCACUGCUGUGGCUCAGGUUUGAUCCCUGAUCUGGGAG
rnacentral:tRNA from 1 species